GACGAACGCUGGCGGCGUGCUUAACACAUGCAAGUCGAACGGAAAGGCCUUUUCGGAGGUACUCGAGUGGCGAACGGGUGAGUAACACGUGGGUGAUCUGCCCUGCACUCUGGGAUAAGCCUGGGAAACUGGGUCUAAUACCGGAUAGGACCGCACUUUAGUGUGUGUGGUGGAAAGUUGUUUCGGUGUAGGAUGAGCCCGCGGCCUAUCAGCUUGUUGGUGGGGUAAUGGCCUACCAAGGCGGCGACGGGUAGCCGGACUGAGAGGUUGGUCGGCCACAUUGGGACUGAGAUACGGCCCAGACGCCUACGGGAGGCAGCAGUGGGGAAUAUUGCACAAUGGGCGCAAGCCUGAUGCAGCGACGCCGCGUGGGGGAUGACGGCCUUCGGGUUGUAAACUCCUUUCGCCAGGGACGAAGCGUUUUGUGACGGUACCUGGAGAAGAAGCACCGGCUAACUACGUG
rnacentral:rRNA from 1 species